rnacentral:rRNA from 1 species
AUUGAACGCUGGCGGCAUGCCUUACACAUGCAAGUCGAACGGUAACGGGCCUUCGGGUGCCGACGAGUGGCGAACGGGUGAGUAAUGCAUCGGAACGUACCUUUCAGUGGGGGAUAACGGAGCGAAAGUUACGCUAAUACCGCAUAUUCUGUGAGCAGGAAAGCAGGGGAUCGCAAGACCUUGCGCUGAUUGAGCGGCCGAUGUCAGAUUAGCUAGUUGGUGAGGUAAAGGCUCACCAAGGCGACGAUCUGUAGCGGGUCUGAGAGGAUGAUCCGCCACACUGGAACUGAGACACGGUCCAGACUCCUACGGGAGGCAGCAGUGGGGAAUUUUGGACAAUGGGGGCAACCCUGAUCCAGCCAUGCCGCGUGAGUGAAGAAGGCC